CCUACGGGAGGCAGCAGUGAGGAAUAUUGGUCAAUGGACGAGAGUCUGAACCAGCCAAGUAGCGUGAAGGAUGACUGCCCUACGGGUUGUAAACUUCUUUUAUAUGGGAAUAAAGUGAUCCACGUGUGGGAUUUUGUAUGUACCAUAUGAAUAAGGAUCGGCUAACUCCGUGCCAGCAGCCGCGGUAAUACGGAGGAUCCAAGCGUUAUCCGGAUUUAUUGGGUUUAAAGGGAGCGUAGGUGGAUUGUUAAGUCAGUUGUGAAAGUUUGCGGCUUAACCGGAGAAUUGCCGCUGAUACUGGCAGUCUAGAGUACAGUAGAGGUGGGCGGAAUUCGUGGUGUAGCGGUGAAAUGCUUAGAGAUCACGCAGAACUCCGAUUGCGAAGGCAGCUUAC
rnacentral:rRNA from 1 species